rnacentral:rRNA from 1 species
GAUGAACGCUAGCGGCAGGCUUAACACAUGCAAGUCGAGGGGUAUUGGUUUUCGGACCAAGAGACCGGCGCACGGGUGCGUAACGCGUAUGCAAUCUACCUUUUGCAGAGGGAUAGCCCAGAGAAAUUUGGAUUAAUACCUCAUAGUAUAGUACCUUGGCAUCAAGGAGCUAUUAAAGUCACAACGGCAAAAGAUGAGCAUGCGUCCCAUUAGCUAGUUGGUAAGGUAACGGCUUACCAAGGCGACGAUGGGUAGGGGUCCUGAGAGGGAGAUCCCCCACACUGGUACUGAGACACGGACCAGACUCCUACGGGAGGCAGCAGUGAGGAAUAUUGGUCAAUGGGCGCAAGCCUGAACCAGCCAUGCCGCGUGCAGGAAGACGGUCCUAUGGAUUGUAAACUGCUUUUAUACAGGAAGAAACCUCUCUACGAGUAGGGACUUGACGGUACUGUAGGAAUAAGGAUCGGCUAACUCCGUGCCAGCAGCCGCGGUAAAGU